GAUGAACGCUGGCGGCGUGCUUAACACAUGCAAGUCGAACGAUGAAGCCCAGCUUGCUGGGUGGAUUAGUGGCGAACGGGUGAGUAACACGUGAGUAACCUGCCCUUAACUCUGGGAUAAGCCUGGGAAACUGGGUCUAAUACCGGAUAGGAGCGUCCACCGCAUGGUGGGUGUUGGAAAGAUUUAUCGGUUUUGGAUGGACUCGCGGCCUAUCAGCUUGUUGGUGGGGUAAUGGCUCACCAAGGCGACGACGGGUAGCCGGCCUGAGAGGGUGACCGGCACAACGGGACUGAGAAAAGGGCCAAGCUUCCAAGGGGGGGAAGAGGGGGGGAAUAUUGCCCAAUGGGGGCAGGCCGAAUGCACGGAGGCGGGUGGGGGAAUAACGGCCUUCGGGUGGUAAACUCCUUUCGGUGGGAAGGAGGCAAAGGUGACGGUACCGGCGGAGGAGGCACCGGCAACUACGUG
rnacentral:rRNA from 1 species